UACGUAGGGGGCAAGCGUUGUCCGGAAUCACUGGGCGUAAAGCGCGCGCAGGCGGUCAUCUACGUCUGGGGUGAAAGCCCGGAGCUCAACUCCGGGAUUGCCUUGGAUACGGGAUGACUUGAGGAUCGGAGAGGCAAGGGGAAUUCCACGUGUAGCGGUGAAAUGCGCAGAUAUCAGGAGGAACACCGGUGGCGAAGGCGGGUCUCUGGGCCGAUACUGACGCUGAGGAGCGAAAGCGUGGGGAGCGAACAGG
rnacentral:rRNA from 1 species